rnacentral:tRNA from 1 species
UGGAGAGUUGUCCGAGCUGGCCGAAGGAGCAUGAUUGGAAAUCAUGUAUACGGGCAUAAACCUGUAUCAAGGGUUCAAAUCCCUUACUCUCCGU